rnacentral:rRNA from 1 species
AAACGACUCUCGGCAACGGAUAUCUCGGCUCUCGCAUCGAUGAAGAACGUAGCGAAAUGCGAUACUUGGUGUGAAUUGCAGAAUCCCGCGAACCAUCGAGUCUUUGAACGCAAGUUGCGCCCGAGGCCACCCGGCCGAGGGCACGUCUGCCUGGGCGUCACG